rfam:Gasterosteus aculeatus cont1.012021, whole genome shotgun sequence.
GGUAGUAGCAAAUAUUCAAACGACAGCUUUGAAGGCCGAAGUGGAGAAGGGUUCAUGGUGAACAGCAGUUGAACAUGGGUCAGUCGGUCCUAAGAGAUGGGCGAACAAAAAUCGAAAAGGAAGCUGGGUUCAGAUUCCCGGACUUGGAGUGGCGGAGACAGGCACCGCGAGGCUCCCAGUGCUGCGACGCAAACGAUUCCGGUGAAGCUGGCGGGAGCCCCGGGGUGAGUUCUCUUUUCUUUGUGAAGGGCAGGGCGCCCUGGAACGGAUUAAUCCAGUGUGCAGUUACACCUAGAAAGCUUUUAUUGUAAGCAGUCCAGAUCUCUGCUGUGGUAGAGACAUGUUGUAAACCCUCAAAUGUUUUUUUUAGCUCGACCUGCAUUUUCGCAUAUUCUCUGUCUAAAUAGCUGGAAAACGUCUUCCUGCACAUUUGCC